AAACCGUGAUGGGGGCACAGAGUGGUGUAGCUUUUGAACAUUUCCCAGGCUUCACAGAAAGUUUUAUUGUUUUUCAGUGUGAACCCGGAGAUCUCGGUCCUCAAUCU